GAGUUCAAUCCUCAAACUAACCGAGUUCAAUUCCAAACUGAUGUCGGGUCUAGAUUCAAAUGAUAGAAUCUUUGAAGACAUAUGGGCGCUGUGGCACAAAGGUCUUUUGGACUGCAUUGAAGAAGAGACGGAUUCUAUGAUAUAUGGUCCAGGCAUGAGUGCAUGGUUUCCAACCUAUAAACAAAGUUUUAAUCUAUGUACAACUUGAGAGUAAAUGGGGGAUUUAAGAAAAGGCGAGUUGUUAGCGAUCUGUGAAGGUUUUGGUGCACUAGUCAUUACUCAUUAGUUGACAGAAAGUUGAAAGAAUUUAGGUCAUAUUUUCAAAGGUGAGAAAUACUAUUGCAGGAAUGCAUGCAAUUUCUACUGUAUAUGAAGGUGAGAUAUAUUAUAUUCACGACCUUCAAUGGGAUUGUCUUUUUGCGCAGUUGUGUUGAUCUGGAGCAGAUGGUUGAGGACUUUUGGUUUAUGUUUGGCUUGGAGGAGAGAUUGUUUCUCCCUGAUUGAGGAGGUUCUCUUGUCUUUGGUUUUCCAUGAGAAAGAACAUGUGAUGUGGCAAGUGAAUUUUUUUUUGCUAUCGUUUGGAGUAUUAGGCUAGAGAGAAAGAAUGGGAUCUUUAGAGAGGUUGAGACAUCCAGGGAGAAGGUUUAGGAGGGACCGGUUAAAUGCCUUCUUGUGGGUGUUUGUUUUAGUUACUUUUGUAAUUGUGAUCUUGGUUUGAUUUUUUUGGAUUGGAGCUAGGAGCUAUUUUCUUAGUUUGGGGCUCUCUCUGCUUUUCUAUGAGGUGUUUUUUUGUAUACCCCUUUGCUUUCAUUAUUUCUGUACGAGAGUUUGAUUCGUAAAAAGAAAAAGAAAUUUGGUGUUCUUAGUUGAACCUACAGAGUCUGAAGGAGAUAUAAUUUAAUUAGUUAAGGGUAAAUUUAUAUAACUUUUUGUUGUUUUUAUUCUCAUUUUAUGUUUCUUCUCUUGCUUAUGUCAUUGUUAUUACU
rnacentral:lncRNA from 1 species